CUUUCGCAGCGUUCGCCUCGUUAAAUUUAUAGCUAAAACGGACGCAGCGUCGCCGUUGUCGUCGUCAUCGUUGUCGUCGUGUGUUCGUCGUCGACGUCGUUGUUGUUGCUAUUAUUACUGCGUUUAGUCGAACGAUCUAGCGCAAAUCGUGUCAAAUAAACCAGCGCCUUGCAUUAAGUUGCUUAAGCUUUUAAUUUAAUACUCGCACACAGAGACAGACUCUCACACAGCAAACUGCAAGUUAAUAUAAGAAGCAGAAGAAGAAGAGAGGCCAUUGUGACAAAGUUCCAAGUGCAGCGGCGUUAACGUUGACGUCGGCGUCGCGGCGUCGCCUGCAUGUGUGUGCCUUAAUUUUGUGUUUCCUGUGGAGAACAAGAACAGACAACAACAAUAAAAUAUAAAGCAACAAGUGGCAGGCAACAAAAACAACAACACGAGCUUUCUUUAAAAGCCGGCUGCGCAGUGAAAAGAAGAGCGCUGUGAGAGAGUGAGAGAGAACAACAUACUGUUCAGUUUCUUUUGGAUUUUCAACAAGCUUGUCAUAAUGGCUGCGUUUAAGCAACUGAGUGAAUUCCACGUGGCGGCGGUUCUAUUGGAAAGCCGCCUAGAUGCGUUUUUGCUUUGAUAGGCUGUGUUUCGCGACCAAGCGACCAGCCAACAACAACAACAGCAGCAGCAACAGCAAUAGUCACAGUCACUAUCUGAGCACCUCAAAUGAGCUGAGCAGCAACACUUUCGCAGCAGUAGUAGCAGCAGAGACAGGAACCACAGCAACCACAGAUGCACCCACAGCCAGCAGCAGCAGCACACCAUCAACAACACCCGUUACAGUCUAUGCCGAAUAUCAAAAGCUGCAGCCAGCGAUAAUCAGACGAGAUCGCGACGACACUGACGCCAAACCGCCAGACAUAGCACAUAACGAAAAGGAGAGAGCUAGACUCGCAAUUGGAAUCGGAAUCGGAAUCAAAAGAGAAGGAGAACGAGAGGGAGAGGGAGAGAGUAAAGCAGCACCCCCAACCUCAAGCAGAAGCAAUAGAAUUACAAAC